CGACCGAGAGAAGUCUGUACCUUUCCAUCAAGUCAACACUUCUAAUCCUCUUGUCGCUGAUGAGGAUGCUCUUAUUCAGCGUCGAUCCAAAAAACAAAACAAAUUGGUGGAUUCAUUUAAUCAAAGUAAUAAGUAAGUUACUUUACAAAAGAACUAUAUAGUUGAUGGUAUGUGUCUAUACGAUUUAGUAUUUGCAGUGUUUAACCAGAACCCAAGGGUAGGGUAGUGAACAACAGAGCCAUUUGCCUUAUUUUCUGGAUAUGUCAUUGAAAACAAUAAGUAUAUCAAGUCCACCACUUGGCGCAGGAGCUCUUGGUGAUGCUGAUCCAUGGGGAACUCCAGCUGGAGCUGCAAGUCAAGUCGUAUUUUUAAAUUCUUUCUAACAUUUCUUUCUAUUUUAGUUCUCUGAUCCUUGGUCAGGUAAAUCGUACAUCUUCACCACAAAUCGAUGCUUGGUAUGCAAAUGUUCCUUAAGCAUCUGGUGGUGCUGCUGGUGGCGAUGAAGGAUGGCUCACACAAUAUACGCAAUCAUCAUCUGUAGCUUCUAGUUCUUCCUGGCUGCAGAGCAACAUCUUUCAAAUGACACCAUGUAUGGAAAUUCAUCAACCUCACUAUAUCGAAACCUAUAUGGUUAUCGAAAACUUCAGUUACGGGAGCAGCAGCUGCUGCAUCUCCCACCAUCUCUACCAUUAGUUCAAAAACCAGCAGUGGUUCGGUUGAUCCUUCGCUGCCUGUAUAUGAAUAUGAAGCAAAAUCAUUAGAAAAAUCAUCAUCAAGAUCCUUGGGCACCAAAAGCUCAACCAAUCUCUGCUAAUAAUGGUGAUCCAUGGAGGAGAACUAGAAAUAAGACAUCGUCAGUGGCAAAUGUUUCACCUGAUUUGGAUGACUGAUAUAAUUACGAAUAGAGUGGAGAGUGCACGACACUUGGCCCAAACAAUAACAAUUGUAUUCAAGAUAGUUUAUGUUUUAAAUGCAAUCCAUUGGAUUACUCAAAAUAUUAAAUUAAAAUUAAGCAUCACUUUUGGAUGAAUUGGAUCCAUUAUCAACAAGAAGCCAUCAUUGAAAAAACCACAAUCGUUCUUGGGUCAAAAGUCAGCGUUAGUGAAUUUGGACAAUUUGAUUAAACCAAUUGCGACGAGCAAUACAAUUGGCAGUGUUGCCUUCAGCGUAUAAUCCAUUUAGUGAUACACUUGCACCUAAAAAAAAUCUAUUGUAACCUAGGUCGUCAGUACUGUUCCGUUCAUAAAUCAACUCAAGCAACAACAACCUUUUAAAUCAAGAUCCUUUGGUACCAGUUAGUAAUGCAGCGCUAAAGGUAAAUUUGUUAUUACGAUCUUGCAACUUGCAAAUAAUUCUGGUUUUUCUUAAAUUAAAAAUAAUAAUACGAAAGCUAGA